CUGUCCCUGUGAAAGAAAGCAUCCACAUGAGAUGUGGGAUCAGGAUGCACUGCAAUGGGCAGGCGCUGGAGACAAGGAGCAAGCAAGACAGGCCCUGCCUGGCCACAGUCCUUCUGCUCAUCACAGAACCCUCAUGAAACAACUCAAACAAGGAACGAAGUAGCAAGGAACGAAGACAGGAGACACCUCUCAAAAGGUCUGGUGUCACUAGAAGCACCUGCUGAGACAAGAACUGUCAGCACAAUGUGUGACGCCCAGCAGGAAGGUGAGGAGAGAUUGACAGGUAGGAGUGAUUGACGCACAGCAGGAAAGGAGGGCAUGGAACAUGGAAGUCUGGGAUGCCACAUGUCCUGCUCUCCCAUUGUUGAUGACCCCUUCCUGGCUCUUCUGGGUUGAUGGUGCAAAAAGUAGCUAAAUGUUCUUAGCUAAUACUUUUCUUCUUACUACCCCACAUGCAUGUGUGUGUGUGUGUGUGUGUGUGUGUGUGUGUAAGAGUAUCCACGCAUGUGGGUGUAUAAGGUAUCCAUGCAUGUGAAGGCCAGACACAACCCUUAGGUGCCAUUUGUUUUUCAAGAGCCAUCGUCCACAGUUCUUUGAGACAAGAUCUCUCACUGGGACCUAAAACUUGCCAAGUAAGCUGGGCUAACUAACCAGAAGGUCCCAGAGGUCAAUCCUCCUGCCUACACAUACCCCAUGCUGGGAUUACAAGCAUGCACCAGUGUGCUUAGCUUUUUAGUGGCCUCUAGGGAGCAAACUCAAUUAGUUCCUCUUGUUCCAGGGGCAAGGACUUUAUCAACGGAGUGGUCUCCUCGGGCUCUAAUGCUUUAAGCGUUUUAAAUGAGAUGAAUGAUACUUGCACAGAUGUUUACACUCUUUGUGAAAACAGUAGAGCCAUUUGAUAGAAUCCGCUUAUUAGGAAUUCAGAAGGUCUGAUUGAUAAAUAUCUUCAGCCACCCAGAGUUGGGCACGUGUCUCUGACCUCAGUUGCAUAUAUAAGGACAACAGACACAGCCAAACUAUUCCACCCAGCUACUGUGGGGCGAGCAAAUAAACUUAUGGAGGAGGAGGGACCAGCUGUCUAUGCAGAAAAUCUCGAAACAAACAAACUCUGAUUACAGCCUGGGCUUGCUUUCAUGUAAGAGGAGCCGUGGAUCACAAAGGGGACACCCUCUGCUGGAAGAGCGCAAAAGCAGGUCGGUAUGAGGGGUCCUCCCUCCCAGGCCUAGGCUGCAUCUCCAGUUGCUUUUCUCAGGGACUGAAGUCUGCCAACCGAAAAAAGGAACAACUGGAGAAAGUCUUAUAAUAGGAAGGUUUGCGAAUGAAUACACAACAGCCUCUUCAUGACAAAAGCUGAGCUGUGAUUGUCUUCUGAGAUGGUUUUUCCAGUUUUCCCUUUUGCAGCUUGAAGAAGGAAGGGUGGACGGUGUCUUUCACCCUAAGUAAGAACACGUGGACAGCUUUCAUUUUGAUCCUCUGUGCUCUUGUGAUUUCCCUUUUCCUUUUUUAAAUAAAAUUUUAAAUUAUUUUAACUUUA